rnacentral:lncRNA from 1 species
GUACUCACUAAAGAAGAGCUUGAACCUAUGUACUUGUGUAAACCCUUCACAAUUAAUGAGAACUCAUCUACUCCGUAGACGUAGCCAAUCUGGGUGAACCACGUACAUCUUGUGUUUGCUUUCCUAUCUCUAUCCAUUUACAUACUUAUCCACACUAAUGACCAGAGCAAUCUAGUGAAGAUCACAAACUUAAUACUUUCUGUUGUACCAAAGUCCUCACUGAUUUUGUGCAUCAACAAUCCUUAAGUCCUUACCUUUUUGCGUUGGUAAUGGAUGAAUUAACAGGACAUAUUCAAGAUGAUAUUCCUUGGUGUAUGCUUUUCGCAAACGAUAUAGUGUUGAUAGAUGAAACUCAUGAGGG